rnacentral:rRNA from 1 species
UACGUAGGGGGCGAGCGUUGUCCGGAUUUAUUGGGCGUAAAGAGCGUGUAGGCGGUUCGGUAAGUCUGUCGUGAAAUCCGUGAGGCUCACCUCGGCGUGCGAUGGAUACUGCCGGGCUAGAGGAUGGUAGAGGCGAGUGGAAUUCCCGGUGUAGCGGUGAAAUGCGCAGAUAUCGGGAGGAACACCAGUAGCGAAGGCGCUCGCUGGGCCAUUCCUGACGCUGAGGUGCGAAAGCGUGGGGAGCAAACAGG